GAUGUUUGUUUCCUCUCCAAGACGAUGAUGCUCAUUGACUCUGCCUGGCUCUCUGAUUGUCUCUGCCUUAGCUACUUGUCUUAUCAAAAUCCCUCCCCGGAGAAUAUGCAAACCGUCUGUCUCUUUUUAUGGUCAGAAUUGUCAAAUUAGAAGCUAUUACUUCUUCUUUAUAGUCAAAAAGAAAUGAUGCAUUCAUAAUUUUAAGCUAUCACGUCUUCUUAGUCAAAAAGAAAUGAUGAAUUCUCAAAAGACACUUCUUGGUUCAGUUUCAAGAAUCAAAGGAAUCGCAAAAUGGAAGAAGAAAACCUUUCUUUGUACGCCAUGAUCCUAUCAAGCUCCUCUGUUCUUCCUAUGAUUCUGAAGACAGCAAUAGAUCUUGGCCUCUUCGACAUCCUAUCCGAAUCUGGCCCUUCUUCUCCCCUCUCUGCUUCUCAGAUCAUGUCUCUCUU
rnacentral:lncRNA from 1 species